rnacentral:lncRNA from 1 species
UGUUCCUGCCCUCCAUUAUAUUAACCAGGCUGUUCACUUCUUGAACGUCUAUCUCUCUGUAAAGAUGUAGAUGCUUGAAACAGUGGGAUCCCUCCAUGACAAUAAGGAGAGAGAUGUGGCCAGUAUGUGGCACACUGAAAGAUCCUGAGAAAUUAUGGACUUGCAGAACCAGCCCUGGGACUGCCAGCAUCCAGGCUUGUCAUUGAGUAAAUCUGUCUACUCCUUUAUGUUACCAGUCACUAAAAUACCUAAGCUAAUGCUCCAACACUACCAUUCUCGCAGUUAAAUAACCAGUCUCAAAAUAUGGGUCAUUUAGAUUCUUCUAUUUCUCUCUCUCCCCCCACCCAUCACCAAUUAUUGAUGCUGAGGGUUUUGCCUCCACCCUGCCUCCCACAGCACUCCUUUAUUUCCAUAGUUACACCAGACUAGAGUCUGGACCCAAGUACCUCUUUUCUGACACUUUCAACAGCCUCCUUGCUCUUUUCAGAUUUCUCCAUGAAAUCCAUUCUACAUUCUAAGAUUAAUAUCUCUUUAAAUAUGGCAUUCAUCUUCAAACCAGCAGUUCUAACUUUUUGGUCUUAGGAAACUUUCACAUUUCUAAACUUAUUGAGAAUGACACGAGCUUUUUUUGGUGAGUUAUACCUUUUGAUAGUUAUCAUAUCUACAAAUUAAAACAGAAAAAUGUUUGAAGUAUACUUACUAAGUCAUUUAAAAAUACCGAGAGUAAACCCAUUAAAGGUUAAAAUAAAUAACACUUGUUAUGAAAAAUAACUAUAACACAAAUAGUGAAGAGUGACAUUACAUUUUUCAAAUUUCUGUAAUGUCUAGCUUAGAAGACAAAAGAGUUCUCAUAUCUAUUUGACUUGAGAUAUUCAAGCUGCUGAAAUAUUUUGUUUUAGUUGAAGUUGAUGACUAAAAUCCAGUUGCAUAUAGUAUUUGAGGGAAGGGAGUAUUUUAAUACAUUUUUAUGGUAAUUAUAGAUAUGCUACUUUGAUACUACCCCCGAACUCAACAAUUGGUAGCUUCUUAAAAGUUUUGCAAUGUAGAUUCUGAAACCAUUUCAAUAAAUUUGUUAACUG